rnacentral:rRNA from 1 species
ACUCCUACGGGAGGCAGCAGUGGGGAAUAUUGCACAAUGGGGGAAGCCCUGAUGCAGCCAUGCCGCGUGUGUGAAGAAGGCCUUCGGGUUGUAAAGCACUUUCAGUAGGGAGGAAGGUAGUGUAGUUAACACCUGCACUAUUUGACGUUACCUACAGAAGAAGCACCGGCUAACUCCGUGCCAGCAGCCGCGGUAAUACGGAGGGUGCGAGCGUUAAUCGGAAUUACGUGGGCGUAAAGCGCAUGCAGGCGGCCUGUUAAGUCAGAUGUGAAAGCCCGGGGCUUAACCUCGGAAUUGCAUUUGAAACUGGCAGGCUAGAGUCUUGUAGAGGGGUUAGAAUUUCAGGUGUAGCGGUGAAAUGCGUAGAGAUCUGAAGGAAUACCAGUGGCGAAGGCGGCCCCUGGACAAAGACUGACGCUCAGAUGCGAAAGCGUGGGAGCAAACAGGAUUAGAUACCCCGUGGUAGCGACUGA